rnacentral:rRNA from 1 species
UACAGAGGGUGCGAGCGUUGUCCGGAAUCACUGGGCGUAAAGGGCGCGUAGGUGGCGGCCCAAGUCCGUGGUGAAAGCUCGCCGCUUAACGGCGAGUCGGCCACGGAGACUGGGUGGCUCGAGCACUGUAGGGGCAGAUGGAAUUCCGGGUGUAGCGGUGGAAUGCGUAGAGAUCAGGAGGAACACCGAUGGCGAAGGCAGGUCUCUGGGCCAUAACUGACGCUGAGAAGCGAAAGCAUGGGGAGCGAACAGG